rnacentral:rRNA from 1 species
GAUGUUGGCUUAGAAGCAGCCAUCAUUUAAAGAAAGCGUAAUAGCUCACUGGUCGAGUCGGCCUGCGCGGAAGAUGUAACGGGGCUAAACCAUGCACCGAAGCUGCGGCAGCGACACUAUGUGUUGUUGGGUAGGGGAGCGUUCUGUAAGCCUGCGAAGGUGUACUGUGAGGUAUGCUGGAGGUAUCAGAAGUGCGAAUGCUGACAUAAGUAACGAUAAAGCGGGUGAAAAGCCCGCUCGCCGGAAGACCAAGGGUUCCUGUCCAACGUUAAUCGGGGCAGGGUGAGUCGACCCCUAAGGCGAGGCCGAAAGGCGUAGUCGAUGGGAAACAGGUUAAUAUUCCUGUACUGGGUGUUACUGCGAAGGGGGGACGGAGAAGGCUAUGUUUGCCGGGCGACGGUUGUCCCGGUUUAAGCGUGUAGGCUGGUUUUCCAGGCAAAUCCGGAAAAUUAAGGCUUAGGCGUGAUGACGAGGCACUACGGUGCUGAAGCAACAAAUGCCCUGCUUCCAGGAAAAGCCUCUAAGCAUCAGG